rnacentral:rRNA from 1 species
UGCGUAGGCGGCAUGAUAAGUCAGGGGUGAAAGCCCACAGCUCAACUGUGGAAUUGCCUUUGAUACUGUCAAGCUUGAAUUAGGUUGAGGUUGGCGGAAUGUGACAUGUAGCGGUGAAAUGCAUAGAUAUGUCAUAGAACACCAAUUGCGAAGGCAGCUGGCUAGACCUUAAUUGACGCUGAGGCACGAAAGCGUGGGGAGCGAACAGGAUUAGAUACCCUGGUAGUCC